GUGGGGGGGGGGGGGGGGGGGGGGGGGGGGGGGGGGGGGGGGGGGGGGGGGGGCCAUGGCCCCUCCACAUUUCUGCAGAGCAAAAUAGUUUUUUUAGGCAAUGCGGAAAGAUAUCUAAUCCAUCAUUCUGUAAAUGAGCGUACGCAGUAUUACGCUUGGUCUAUUUGUUGACGGGAAGUUUCUCAAAAACUAUUGAAGGAAAAGAAACUGCUGGAAAGAAAAUUUUUUAAAUAUGAGAAAUAAAAAACUUUUGUUGCAUAAUCUUUCAUUUUGAGUUGACAGUGACUCUUUUGAUAUUUGAUAUUGACAGUGACUGUUGAUGGUUUUGUUAAAGCUUGAUUCAUUUAUUUUCUCCUCCAUUUUAUUUUGGUUCCUUUUUAAAUCUAAAAAGCUUGAUUACGAGCUGCAAUUAAAAGUUUGUUCCAAAAAUUUGCAAAAACUUUCCUAUUACAUGCCAACAUUACAAGAGACAAAAUUAUGCGACACAUUGAUAAAAAAAGCUUGAAAAUAUUUCCUCGGAUUUUCUAUCUGUCAAAAUCCAUUUUAGAUACUGUUUCUGGCCACCCCUAAUACACCAUAAUUCUAAAAAUUUUCUUGCCACCAACCAUUUUGACCUUUCCUAAAACCUUUUAUAACCUUGAUUUUUGGCUCCUUCGCUUUCAAAUAUGUUUCGCCGGCCCUGUUGAAACUGUUGAUUUACGCAAUAACUUGCGAACUAUACUGAAUGAAAAUUCUAGUAACAGGGCUGGAAGUUCACAGAAUCCUUUGCAUAAGGUCAUUGUUCCUAUUACACAUAGAAUUGUGUUUUUAAACUCUUUAAAGUUGUGACAACUUGAUAGCGCCAUAUUGAAUGAGCCCAGAGUUUCAAAACGCUUCGCGAAAAAGGCAGCCUGUUACCGACCACAAAAUUUCACAAACUUUUUGUCAAAAUUUUUCGCGUUUCGCUGUCGUUAAUCAAGCACUUUGUAGCACAUUGUGGGUAAAAACGUAUUAGUCCAUUCACAGUCCAUUAGGUUUAGUUGAGCGUGGAAAUGUUUUUAACAGCAUAAUAGAAAGAAACCACCUUUUAAUGCGCAUAUUCUAGUGUUUUAACAAGCCAGACAUAUUUGUUUUAAUGUUUGAGUAUAUGUUCAACACACGACUAGCCCGUUUUCGUAUACAGUUAUUGAAAGCGUUGUCUGUUUUGAACUCGUUUUCAGUUAUUAUACGCCUCGUUAUGACACUGUUAUCAUAGUUAAAGCAUUCAAAUGCAAACAUUUUUGUAAUUUUGAUAUUUGUUAAACCGCCACAUUAUUGCAUAGGCCAUAACUGUUUCCGUGGUUCGACCACGUGAUUUUGUUGAGAGUGCAUCGUAAAUCAUAUGAAUCGCAUUUGAUGCGGUUCACAUGAAGCACAUCUCAGAAUAUACAUAGAAACGAUGCAUAAUACUCAAGCACAUAUGAAAUCUAGACUACCUCGUACUAACAGUUCAUCUUUGCCAGCCGUGAUGCCUGGAUUGCUAAGACCCACCUUCGUAUCCAUUGUUGCUAUUACCAACUAGAAGCGUGCCUAGGCAAUGAAUUUCUAGCGUUCCUUUUAUUUUCUUGCUCGUAUCAAAGUGACUUUAGCUUCUGUACUAAACGGUUAUUUGUGAGUUAAAGGGAUUGUUCCUAAACUUUGAACUGUAGAUGCAACUUAUGUGCUCAAAUUUGAUACCAAAAUUUCCCCUUAACAUAACUUUGGAUUUAUUUUCCAUGCAACAUUCUCCAAAACGUUUCUAACUGUUUCCAUAAUUUUCUAAGGAAUCUCUUUUAAAAUAACCACUGUUGUUGCGCCUCCACAUCAACGCUUGCAGACAUGGGUGCGCUUCAGUACGCCACAAAUUCUUAGAAAUUCUUUUGUUUAAGCAUCUUACGUCGUCCAUUUUUUGUUUUUAAUUUUUCCUAUUACGAAAUAUGCCAAGCAUCAAUAUUCUAGCUACAGGACAGACAAACAUUUUUUCAAAAGGUCUUCUUCAGGCCGAUAGAGACAAUGUGCUAAGUUCAACUUUCUUGAAUUCUUUUCCAACAAUCUGGUUUAUAGUUAAGUUUCACAUGACGCAUAAUAUCUUCGCAUUGUUUCCGUCGCAUUUUAUUGCUCGCAUUUUGCUCUCACUCAUCUCUCAAGUACAUGUGACUAAUAGGCCGCUUUUGUGUAGUUUAUAAGCUUUUUAUAACAUUUGAUAAUUCUCAGAAUAUUUGUUUGUAUAUCUCGUUACGUGCAAAAAAUAUUCAGGGCACGUAUGAUUAAAUGUUCUACCGAUGUUGCAAAUCAAAGACUAACGGAAAAGUCAAAUAAAUACGACAAGAAUGCCAUGUAAUUCAAAGGUUUUACAACCUUGACCAUCUGUUUCCUAGUCUAUGCCCAUCAUCUAACCGACCUUGUAUAUGGCUUGGUGAAGUGAUGUCGUCAAAAAAUCUCUAAUUUUGAUUAAACAUCCACCCUAUAGCUUGAAAAAAUAGUUGAAAAUAGUCGUUUGUGUGAAUACCUCAGUUGGACAGCUCAAAAGUUCGCUUAAGUUAAGUUUUUAGCUAUUACCGACUGUUCAGCAAUGGGCCUUUACAAAGUUCAUAUCUUUAACAAGGAAUCACACAGACACUUCGUAAUACAUUUGACUGAUUUUGUAUGCUUAAAAUUUGUUCUUUCCGUUUUGUGAUCCAAGUUUAAAACGAUAAAAAGCUUUCCGAGGCGCCAUCACUUCGCCAUUUUGUUAUACAAGGAUUCUACUUACUUGACAGCUGUUAAUAACGAGGUCAGAUUAUAAGCUUGCCUCCAAACUGCUUGCAUUGUCCAUGUCAACUGCCAUCUACAGAUUCCCCUGCCCAGGAGCUCAUUUUAACGUCAUAUACGAAUUUCAAUGGCAGCAACGCUUUAUCUAACGCACCUAUGCACUUUAGUCUUAAUGUGGGUCUAUUAUCGUUUAUUAUCGUAUAGAUGCUCUCAUAUUUGUUCAACCGUCCACCCUCUCAGCUAUCAUAGAGAACAAGCAAGACACAUCGAAUCAUUUUAAAACUCGAUGUCCCUAGUAUCUUAUAUCAAGCAACAGCAACAAAAUUAGCAAUGUAAGUUUUUUAAUCAGCCCCUGUGCAAGUAAAAAUGUUGCAGCGCCUCCACAUCAACGCUGUUCAACAUCAGUGUAUUUCAGCUCCUUCCAUCUUAGUGUUAUGUAUCGUCGUCGGUUUCCAUGAAAACAGCAGUCUCAUUCUGAUUUACAAUGCAACAACACCGAUUCUUUAUAAAUGUCGCAAAUUUAUUUUACUAAAUGUAGCUGGAAAUCUGUUGAUCGUGGUAAUCUCGUGUAAUUUUGCACGAUUCAGCACUUUCUUUUCCAGACAAAAAUUUGAAAAAUAAUAGACGUUCUUUACAUUUGUUCGGACCGCAAUAUUAAUCGAGUACAAUUGUUCGUUGUAUCUACCCGUCACAAUUUCACGUUUAAAACGAUUGUUUUUAAGAUUUUGUUCAUUGUUAUAUUUGAUCAUAGCAUGUAUUGAUACAAGCGUUUAAAUGACACUGAAGCAAGACUCAUUUUAAAAUCAAUAGCUUAUUAUCAACCCCCGGCUUUGAAAUUUGAGAUCCUUAAAGCAUAUGCAAAAGUUUGAUUUAGUUUGUAUUGGAAAAAUCCAUGGCACUUCCAGUAGUUGUCACAAGCCUAAAGCACCCACAAUUGCAGAAUACCAGAAGCCCUUUUCAUUGCCUUUGCCAGUGCAACAUGACUUUGGACCUUUAUUUUAAUGGAUAUCUUAAAAUGUUUAUCUUUGAUGCAGAAUUUUUGAAUCUAUGAAAAUCACACCCACAAUGUUGUCUUGCAACAGUGUCUUAGAAUUAGCAAACAAUUAAUGUAAAUUAGCAUAUUCCUGGGACAGCGUUUCUCGGAAAAUAUCUCCUUCAACCAUAAAACCAAGAUUCAAAUCAUGUAUGACUUUUUACACACAGUCUACUUCGGACAAAUUUAGCCCCCUUUUGGUAAGCCCCCUUUUGGUAAGCCCCCUUUGGUAAGCCCAACUGCUACCACAGAUAUAUCAAUGGUUAUUUCGUUUUUCGCUCCUGUGGGCAGAGCCUUGAGAUCGUGGCAGGAACAUUCUCAAGGGAAUGGUUCCAGGAGCAGCGCACUCACUCAUUUUGAUUCGCAGAAAAAAAUGACAUAUUUCAUAUAUUCAUAUUUUAUAUACUUCAUAUAUGUGGCCACUAGAAUCCGAGUGACGUAGACCCAGAGCCAAGAAUACUAUCUUUAUGAGGCUACCCUUACUCCCGAUUUUCAGAUGCCUAGGGCAUGCUCCAUGUAACCAUACCCCGCCGUACCUCGUCAGAGGCCUUGAUUAAAAGAUCUGUGGAGGGAGGCUGCUCUCGGAGAUCUUUACGAGAAAAGGCCUGUCCCAGGAAACCUUCCAAUAUCUUGUCAGAUACACUAGUGUAGUCAAUGUAAGUAUUCGCUUCACGUUUAUGAUGAUAUUGCCAUUCACUGA